GCAGGCAGCCAUAUCACCCUGCAAGUCACAACUAAUAACCUUCUGAAGCGCAGCAGGUGGGAGCCUGGUCAGUACCUGGAUGGGAGACCUCCUGGGAAAGCUAAGGCUGCUGCUGGAA
rnacentral:rRNA from 1 species